rnacentral:tRNA from 3 species
UCGGGGCGUAGCGCAGUCCGGUAGCGCACUAGCAUGGGGUGCUAGGGGUCGAGUGUUCGAAUCACUCCGUCCCGACCAU